rnacentral:pre_miRNA from 1 species
AGUGGGAUUGCUGGAUCAUAUGGUAAUUCUAUUUUUAGUUUUCUGAGGAACAUCUAUACUGUUUUCCAAAAAAAGCCUGUACUAAUUUGCAAUACCAACAGGGUU